rnacentral:lncRNA from 1 species
AUGAACUAUGGAAUGAGGUUCGUGACAUUGUACAGGAGACAGGGAUCAAGACCUUUUCCCAUGGAAAAGAAAUGCAAAAAAACAAAAUGGCUGUCUGGGGAGGCCUUACAAAUAGCUGUGAAAAGAAGAGAAGUGGAAAGCAAAGGAGAAAAGGAAAGAUAUAAGCAUCUGAAUGCAGAGCUCCAAAGAAUAGCAAGGAGAGAUAAGAAAGCCUUCUUCAGUGAUCAAUGCAAAGAAAUAGAGGAAAACAACAGAAUGGGAAAGACUAGAGAUCUCUUCAAGAAAAUUAGAGAUACCAAGGGAACACUUCAUGCAAAGAUGGGCUCGAUAAAGGACAGAAAUGGUCUGGACCUAACAGAAGCAGAAGAUAUUAAGAAGAGGUGGCAAGAAUACAUGGAAGAAUUGUACAAAAAAGACCUUCACAACCCAGAUAAUCAUGAUGAUGUGAUCACUCAUCUAGAGCCAGACAUCCUGGAAUGUGAAGUCAAGUGGGCCUUAGAAAGCAUCAGUAUGAACAAAGCUAGUGGAGGUGAUGGAAUUCCAGUGGAGCUCUUUCAAAUCCUGAAAGGUGAUGCUGUGAAAGUGCUGCACUCAAUAUGCCAGCAAAUUUGGAAAACUCAGCAGUGGCCACAGGACUGGAAAAGGUCAGUUUUCAUUCCAAUCCCAGAGAAAGGCAAUGCCAAAGAAUGCUCAAACUACCGCACAAUUGCACUCACCUCACAUGCUAGUAAAGUAAUGCUCAAAAUUCUCCAAACCAGGCUUCAGCAAUACGUGAACUGUGAACUCCCUGAUGUUCAAGCUGGUCUUAGCAAAGGCAGACGAACCAGAGAUCAAAUUGCCAACAUCCACUGGAUCAUGGAAAAAGCAAGAGAGUUCCAGAAAAACAACUAUUUCUGCUUUAUUGACUACGCUAAAGCCUUUAACUGUGUGGAUCACAAUAAACUAUGGAAAAUUCUGAAAGAGAUGGGAAUACCAGAUCACCAAACCUGCCUCUUGAGAAAUCUGUAUGCAGGUCAGGAAGCAACAGUUAGAACUGGACAUGGAACAACAGACUGGUUCCAAAUAGGGAAAGGAGUACGUCAAGGCUGCGUAUUGUCACCCUGCUUGUUUAACUUCUAUGCAGAGUACAUCAUGAGAAACGCUGGAGUGGAAGAAACACAAGCUGGAAUCAAGAUUGCCGGGAGAAAUAUCAAUCACCUCAGAUAUGCAGAUGACACCACCCUUAUGGCAGAAAGUGAAGAGGAACUAAAAAGCCUCUUGAUGAAAGUGAAAGAGGAGAGUGAAAAAGUUGGCUUAAAGCUCAACAUUCAGAAAAGGAAGAUCAUGGCAUCCGGUCCCAUCACUUCAUGGCAAAUAGCUGGGGAAACAGUAGAAAUAGUAUCAGACUUUAUUUUUUGGGGCUCCAAAAUCACUGCAGAUGGUGACUGCAGCCAUGAAGUUAAAAGACGCUUACUCCUUGGAAGAAAAGUUAUGACCAACCUAGAUAGCAUAUUCACAAGCAGAGACAUUACUUUGCCAACAAAGGUCCAUCUAGUCAAGGCUAUGGUUUUUCCUAUGGUCAUGUAUGGAUGUGAGAGUUGGACUAUGAAGAAAGCUGAGCACCGAAGAAUUUAUGCUUUUGAACUGUGGUGUUGGAGAAGACUCUCGAGAGUCCCUUGGACUGCAAGGAGAUCCAACCAGUCCAUCCUAACGGAGAUCAGUCCUGGAUGUUCAUUGGAGGGACUGGUGCUGAAGCUGAAACUCCAAUACUUUGGCCACCUCAUGCAAAGAGUUGACUCAUUGGAAAAGACUCUGAUGCUGGGAGAGAUUGGGGGCAGGUGGAAAAGGGGACGACCGAGGAUGAGAUGGCUGGAUGGCAUCACGGACUCGACGGACGUGAGUCUGAGUGAACUUCAGGGGUUGGUGAUGGACAGGGAGGCCUGGGGUGCUGCGAUUCAUGGGGUCGCAAAGAGUCGGACACAACUGAGCGACUGA